rnacentral:rRNA from 1 species
UAGAGUUUGAUCAUGGCUCAGGAUGAACGCUGGCGGCGUGCUUAACACAUGCAAGUCGAACGAUGACCCCCAGCUUGCUGGGGUGAUUAGUGGCGAACGGGUGAGUAACACGUGAGUAACCUGCCCUUGACUCUGGGAUAAGCCCGGGAAACUGGGUCUAAUACUGGAUAUGCACCGUAAGCCGCAUGGUUUUUGGUGGAGAGAAUUUCGGUCAAGGAUGGACUCGCGGCCUAUCAGCUUGUUGGUGAGGUAAUGGCUCACCAAGGCGACGACGGGUAGCCGGCCUGAGAGGGUGACCGGCCACACUGGGACUGAGACACGGCCCAGACUCCUACGGGAGGCAGCAGUGGGGAAUAUUGCACAAUGGGCGAAAGCCUGAUGCAGCGACGCCGCGUGAGGGAUGACGGCCUUCGGGUUGUAAACCUCUUUCAGUAGGGAAGAAGCGAAAGUGACGGUACCUGCAGAAGAAGCGCCGGCUAACUACGUGCCAGCAGCCGCGGUAAU